rnacentral:rRNA from 1 species
AGUGAACGCUGGCGGUAGGCCUAACACAUGUAAGUCGAACGGCAGCACAGUAAGAGCUUGCUCUUACGGGUGGCGAGUGGCGGACGGGUGAGGAAUACAUCGGAAUCUACUUUUUCGUGGGGGAUAACGUAGGGAAACUUACGCUAAUACCGCAUACGACCUACGGGUGAAAGCAGGGGAUCUUCGGACCUUGCGCGAUUGAAUGAGCCGAUGUCGGAUUAGCUAGUUGGCGGGGUAAAGGCCCACCAAGGCGACGAUCCGUAGCUGGUCUGAGAGGAUGAUCAGCCACACUGGAACUGAGACACGGUCCAGACUCCUACGGGAGGCAGCAGUGGGGAAUAUUCGACAAUGGGCGCAAGCCUGAUCCAGCCAUACCGCGUGGGUGAAGAAGGUCUUCGGGUUGUAAAGCCCUUUUGUUGGGAAAGAAAAGCAGCAGGUUAAUCCCCCGCUGUUCUGACGGUACCCAAAGAAUAAGCACCGGCUAACUUCGUG